rnacentral:rRNA from 1 species
AAACCAACAGGGAUUGCCUCAGUAGCGGCGAGUGAAGCGGCAAAAGCUCAAAUUUGAAAUCUGGCGUCUUUGGCGUCCGAGUUGUAAUUUGAAGAAGGUAUCUUUGGGCCCGGCUCUUGUCUAUGUUCCUUGGAACAGGACGUCACAGAGGGUGAGAAUCCCGUGCGAUGAGAUGACCCGGGUCUGUGUAAAGUUCCUUCGACGAGUCGAGUUGUUUGGGAAUGCAGCUCUAAGUGGGUGGUAAAUUCCAUCUAAAGCUAAAUAUUGGCGAGAGACCGAUAGCGAACAAGUACAGUGAUGGAAAGAUGAAAAGAACUUUGAAAAGAGAGUGAAAAAGUACGUGAAAUUGUUGAAAGGGAAGGGCUUGAGAUCAGACUUGGUAUUUUGCAUGUUGCUCUCUCGGGGGCGGCCGCUGCGGUUUACCGGGCCAGCAUCGGUUUGGAGCGGCAGGAUAAUGGCGGAGGAAUGUGGCACGGCUUCUGCUGUGUGUUAUAGCCUCUGACGAUACUGCCAGCCUAGACCGAGGACUGCGGUUUUUAACCUAGGAUGUUGGCAUAAUGAUCUUAAGUCGC